CCGUAACUCACUUGGUAGAGUGUCAGAUUCCAAAUCUGGAGGUUGGGGGUUCGAGACCCUCCGGG
rnacentral:tRNA from 1 species